GCCUGGUGGCUCAGUCGGUUGAGCGUCUGACUUCAGCUCAGGUCACGAUCUCACGGUCCGUGAGUUCGAGCCCCGCGUCGGGCU
rnacentral:tRNA from 1 species